AACGAACGCUGGCGGCAUGCCUAACACAUGCAAGUCGAACGAGACCUUCGGGUCUAGUGGCGCACGGGUGCGUAACGCGUGGGAACCUGCCCUUAGGUUCGGAAUAACUCCCCGAAAGGGGUGCUAAUACCGGAUAAUGUCUUCGGACCAAAGAUUUAUCGCCUUUGGAUGGGCCCGCGUUGGAUUAGCUAGUUGGUAGGGUAAAAGCCUACCAAGGCGACGAUCCAUAGCUGGUCUGAGAGGAUGAUCAGCCACACUGGGACUGAGACACGGCCCAGACUCCUACGUGAGGCAGCAGUGGGGAAUAUUGGACAAUGGGCGAAAGCCUGAUCCAGCAAUGCCGCGUGAGUGAUGAAGGCCUUAGGGUUGUAAAGCUCUUUUACCCGGGAUGAUAAUGACAGUACCGGGAGAAUAAGCUCCGGCUAGCUCCGUG
rnacentral:rRNA from 1 species